UACGGAAGGGGCAAGCGUUGUUCGGAAUCAUUGGGCGUAAAGGGCGCGUAGGUGGUUUUGUGUGUCUACCGUGAAAGCAUACAGCUCAACUGUAUUUUGUCGGUAGAAACUGCAGGACUUGAGGCUGGGAGGGGCUGGUGGAAUUCCCUGUGUAGCGGUGAAAUGCGUAGAGAUCGGCAGGAACACCCAGGGGGAAACCAGCCGACUGGGCAUCUGCUGACGCUGAGGUGCGAGAGCGUGGGGAGCGAACCGG
rnacentral:rRNA from 1 species